UGGGGAAUAUUGGACAAUGGGCGGAAGCCUGAUCCAGCCAUGCCGCGUGUGAAGAAGGCCUUUUGGUUGUAAAGCACUUUAAGCGAGGAGGAGGCUACUUGGAUUAAUACUCUAGGAUAGUGGACGUUACUCGCAGAAUAAGCACCGGCUAACUCUGUGCCAGCAGCCGCGGUAAUACAGAGGGUGCGAGCGUUAAUCGGAUUUACUGGGCGUAAAGCGUGCGUAGGCGGCUUCUUAAGUCGGAUGUGAAAUCCCUGAGCUUAACUUAGGAAUUGCAUUCGAUACUGGGAAGCUAGAGUAUGGGAGAGGAUGGUAGAAUUCCAGGUGUAGCGGUGAAAUGCGUAGAGAUCUGGAGGAAUACCGAUGGCGAAGGCAGCCAUCUGGCCUAAUACUGACGCUGAGGUACGAAAGCAUGGGGAGCAAACAGG
rnacentral:rRNA from 1 species